rnacentral:lncRNA from 1 species
CAGUGUGUUGCCUGCCUCAUGUUUGAAGCUGAACGGAAGGACCUCUUCACAGAGAUGCUAGGUUUGAAAUCAAGGGCAGUGACAACACCCAUGUCUCAAAUGACCAAAUUACCCCUCAAACCGCAGUCGUCUCCAUUUCUGAGACCUUCGGUGGGUUGCCCCUAAAACACUUAGAGCAUUUUUUUUUUAAAAAAUUACUCUUUAUUUGAGCUAAGCACAUCAAAAUAGCACUUUAAUUUUGUUUCACAAAAUAAUUGUGCAAGGGCUUCAAACCAUUGUUCGAAAACUAGGUCCGAGGUAUCGGUACAAAGUCGGCCGAGUCUGUAAGAAGAUAGAAUACCAAAGUGUAGGAACACCCCAGUUUGGUUAGUUCACACUCAGACUUGCCACAUUGCCGAGUCCGAGUAACUCGGCCGAGUUUUAGAACUCUGCUUCAACAAGAAUUCUAUCACAUUAAACAUACAAAAAGAAACCUCGUGUAGGACUUACGUGAAAAAUGGAGAUUUGCCAGUCUUGAUGAUGCUCUGAUAAAGAUAUAGCUUGGCGCUGAAGGCUUUAAGGGGGAGAAAAGCCAAAACCCCAUUUUGAAAUUAAGCCUGGAAUUGCAGGUUUUCUAUGGGAAAUGUUAGAGAGAGAAAGUCAGCUCUUUUUUCUUUUCGGUGAAAGUGGGUGGGAGAGAAAGGGGCUUUCAUUUGAUGAGAGAGAGAGAGCGAGAGAUCUUUAGUUGCAGGAAUCCUGAGAAUUUGCAGUGCUUUUUGGUGUUCUAAUCAUGACACAUGUUGGGGGCGUGAAAGCCAUUCCCCCUUAAAGAAACCAUACUUUUAAACUUUAAAUUCAUAGUAAAACAUUCCAUCAAAGAGUAAGAUAAUAGGAGAAGACAUUCUUCUUCAUUUUCUCUUAGGUAUUGUACAAAAAAUUCCCUCUUUUCUUUCAAAUGAGUCAAUAGCCAAAUGGCAACUAGAAUA